AUUUUCCUCUCACUCCAUUUUAUUUGCCUCCAAAAAUCCUAAACACUAAACUAAAAUUUUAAACACAACCCCUAAAUUCUAACAAAAAAUUUAAACGCUAAUAUUUUAAUAUCAAAUAUCAAAUUUAACUUCAAUCUUAAAUAUAAACUCAAAAAUUAAUAUUUUUAGAAAUUAACCUCAAAUCUUAAAUCAAUACCCCAAACCUUUAACUUUCAAACUCUUUACUCAAACCUUAUUCUAAACUCCAAACUUGAAAACUAGUUUUAAAAAUUAAUCAUAUACCCUAAACUAUAACUAAAAAUAUUUAAAUUCUAAUAUUUUUAUUAUUUUUUUAAAAUAAUCAUAUACCAUAAGCUCUAAUUAGAAAUCUUUUUGUCUAUGAAUAUUAUAUAUAUAUCAUAUCCUAAAUUAAUUAUAUAUCCCAAACUCUAACUAGAAAUCUUAAAAUUCUAAUCUUUUUAUUAUUUUAAAACAUUUUAGUUUCAAAUUUUAAAUCUAAUACCAUAAACCUAAACUCUAAAUGUAUAUCAUAACACAAAUCAUAUACCCUAAAUCAUAUCACAUAUACUCUAAACUCAAAAUUUUAAACUCUGAUUUUUAAAUACAAAAUAAAUAUGAUCAGUAAUUAGAAUAUAAUUUAGUUUUCAUAUAAAUAAAAUUAGUUAAACAUUAAAUUUUAAAUUCCUAAAACAACUAUAAUAAAAAAAUUGUUUUUGAUUGAUUAAUUUUGGACAUUGAUUGGUUUUAAUCGAAAGGUCACAAGUCUAUUUUAGUUACUCCGCUCACUUUCUCUUUAUUUGUCAGUCUAUCAAAAUUAGAAUUACAAUUUGUGGUCAUUGAUUGUUUUUGAUCUUGUGGCCUAAAAUCAAUCUUCUUCAUCUAUCCAUUCAAACAUCUCUCUCACGAUUGUGAUUAACCUAAAAUCACAAAAUCAUCAGAUCAACGCACACAGAUUGGCUCGAAUCAGCCUCUCCCGAUUCAAACUGUAUCAGUUCAAUCCUCUCUCUGUCUAUCUCUCUCAGCCAUGAUGAAAGCUUCAUCGACAACACUACUCGAGUCAGAUUUGAGCUACAAACAGAGAUGGCGGAGGAGGAGAAGAGGCUUCUAUGGUUAAGUUCCGUAAUCUGCUGAUUCUGUGUUUGUUUGUGUCAUUUCAAUCUCAGUUACAGGUUAGUUGUUUCGUUUCUCUGUUCUGAACGAUGCAAUAACAUUGAUUCAUCAGGAACAGGGGAUUAGUAAGUUAAAGUUGUAAGCUUUGACUUGAUUCUUAAUAAACUUAAUGGAUUUUCAUGAGUUGUCUCACCUUAUGAUCACCAAUCUAUCUACAUUCUUGGGUUUAUAUUGUUUGUUUACUGCUGUUUUCAGUUACUUGGAGCCUCUUGCAGUUGCUCUAGAUAAAGAGAAGUGGAGCAUGUGCAUUUACUCAAUGUGAAACAGAGUUUGAUGGAGAUUGUUGAGUUCGAUAUGGCUUCUCCUUUCUUCUUUCUCUCUCGCAUGAUUGGUUCUCUUCAUGUUUUUACUAAUCUCUCAGACGGUUAUGAAUCAAGCUCUGAUCAAGAAAGCUACUCUGAGACAAGUUCAGGUAAACUAUCAAAGGGAGAAGAACACAAGGCAUAGGAGCUCGUGAAAAUUUAAAUGGUGAAGCUCAUUAUUGAGGAUGAUGGUCCGUAUGAGCUAAUCUGAGUUUUGAUGUUGAAGAAGAUGAGAAGCUUGGUUGGAGAAGAUGACAUGGGAGCAGAGAUUAGAGUUUGAGAUUGAAUGGGAGUAGAGAUUAGAGUUUGAGAUUGAAUGUUAACAUAUGCAACUCUUGAGAAGUUGAAUGUAGAGUUAGCCAUAAAAAAAUGUACUUAGAAAUAUUGUCAUACUAGUUAUCUCAAAUCCUUGUAUGUUUUGGAUUUUUAAUGAAAAACAUAUGGUAUUUUAUUAUUUAUUUGUGUUU